rnacentral:rRNA from 1 species
AAAAGGUGGCUAUGCUACCGCUUUUGGAUGGGCCCGCGGCGCAUUAGCUAGUUGGUGGGGUAAAGGCUUACCAAGGCAAUGAUGCGUAGCCGAACUGAGAGGUUGAUCGGCCACAUUGGGACUGAGACACGGCCCAAACUCCUACGGGAGGCAGCAGUAGGGAAUCUUCCACAAUGGGCGAAAGCCUGAUGGAGCAACGCCGCGUGGGUGAAGAAGGUCUUCGGAUCGUAAAACCCUGUUGUUAGAGAAGAAAGUGCGUGAGAGUAACUGUUCACGUUUCGACGGUAUCUAACCAGAAAGCCACGGCUAACUACGUGCCAGCAGCCGCGGUAAUACGUAGGUGGCAAGCGUUAUCCGGAUUUAUUGGGCGUAAAGGGAACGCAGGCGGUCUUUUAAGUCUGAUGUGAAAGCCUUCGGCUUAACCGGAGUAGUGCAUUGGAAACUGGGAGACUUGAGUGCAGAAGAGGAGAGUGGAACUCCAUGUGUAGCGGUGAAAUGCGUAGAUAUAUGGAAGAACACCAGUGGCGAAAGCGGCUCUCUGGUCUGUAACUGACGCUGAGGUUCGAAAGCGUGGGUAGCAAACAGGACUAGAUACCCUGGUAGUCCACGCCGUAAACGAUGAAUGCUAAGUGUUGGAGGGUUUCCGCCCUUCA